UUUCAACAAAGUGUCUUGAUGGCCCCCAAAUUCAUCCUUAUGUACAGUGCAAUGCUCCCAGGUCUACAAAAUUAUAACUACUUUAAGGAAAAAUACUCCCUAAAAUUGUUUCCUGUAAUGUUCUACCCUCCUCUUGUAUUUGUACAAAACAUAUUUACUCAAUUAUUUUGUCGUUUUUCUUCACAAAAGGCAACCCUUUUAUUUCUCUUUUUUUCUUUAUCCUAAAUUAUAUAUACAUUAUACUUUAUCUGGGGCCACAUUUCCAUUCAUGAUAUACUACAUGAGCGGCCACGUUGUCAAACAUUUAUUAUACAAUAUAUGUAUUUAUCAUAUACUUAGCAUUGAUAUGAUAGCUUUUGCAUAUGUGUAAUGAGCGGAAGUACACAAGCCAUAGUUUCCCACCCCGGCUGAUAACCCAUAUCAGGUGCAUCUCAUGCACAAAACCCAUAAUAGUGCCUCACGUGCAAAUAACUUCCGGUGUUUCCAGUAUCUGUUGUUUACUUUUCUUACUCCGUCUCGUGAUGAUACCCAGGCUGAUAUGGAAAAGGCCAUGUAUUAAUCUCUAUAUAUGCAUGAGGUGGAUACAAGGAUAUAUCAACUUAAAAGAAGUAUAUUUACUGAGAACAAAGUCUGAGGUCAAUAUACUUCUUUGGGUUGAUUAAUAAUGUCUGACCAUAUCUGUAUCGAAAUUGUCAGUGUAAUAUAGUUGAUCAUAUGAUUUUGUUGGAAUUAUGUAGAUAUCAUAUUGACUCCUAGACAAUAACAGCAUAUUUGUUGUUAUUUCAUUUAUUUUUCAUGUUUUUUUUUUUAAUAUCUUUCUUUUUUUAACAAAAUCAUAAAUAUACACUUUUAAAGACUUUUAACAAUAUCAUGAAAC
rnacentral:lncRNA from 1 species